UGAGGAAUAUUGGUCAAUGGGCGGAAGCCUGAACCAGCCAAGUCGCGUGAGGGAAGACGGUCCUAUGGAUUGUAAACCUCUUUUGCAGGGGAGCAAGACGCGGUACGUGUACCGUGCUGGAGAGUACCCUGAGAAAAAGGCAUCGGCUAACUCCGUGCCAGCAGCCGCGGUAAUACGGAGGAUGCGAGCGUUAUCCGGAUUUAUUGGGUUUAAACGGGUGCGUAGGCGGACUGGUAAGUCAGCGGUAAAAAUUGCGGUGCUCAACGCCGUAGUGCCGUUGAAACUGCCGGUCUUGAGUGAGCGAGAAGUAUGCGGAAUGCGUGGUGUAGCGGUGAAAGUGCAUAGAUAUCACGCAGAACUCCGAUUGCGAAGGCAGCAUACCGGCGCUCAACUGACGCUGAGGCACGAAACGUGGGGGGAUCGAACAGGAUUAGAUACC
rnacentral:rRNA from 1 species